rfam:Picea glauca, whole genome shotgun sequence.
AUGUACAUUCCUACAACAUAGUGUUAAUGCACCAGAUCCCAUUAAAAAUCUACAGUUAAGUGCGCUCAGGGUAGAGUUGUACUCAGAUGGGUGACUGCCUAGGAAUUCCUAGUGUUUUACAUG